rnacentral:rRNA from 1 species
UACGGAGGGUGCGAGCGUUGUCCGGAAUCACUGGGCGUAAAGGGCGCGUAGGCGGCCUGGUAAGUCGGGGGUGAAAUCCUGCGGCUUAACCGCAGGGCUGCCUUCUAAACUGUCAGGCUCGAGCACAGUAGAGGCAGGUGGAAUUCCCGGUGUAGCGGUGGAAUGCGUAGAGAUCGGGAAGGACAUCAGUGGCGAAGGCGGCCUGCUGGGCUGUUGCUGACGCUGAGGCGCGACAGCGUGGGGAGCAAACAGG